rnacentral:rRNA from 1 species
GUAGGUGGCAAGCGUUGUCCGGAAUUAUGGGCGUAAGCGCGCGCAGGUGGUCUUUAAGUCUGAUGUGAAAGACCCCCGGGCUCAACCGGGGAGGGUCAUUGGAAACUGGGGAACUUGAGUGCAGGAGAGGAAAGUGGAAUUCCACGUGUAGCGGUGAAAUGCGUAGAUAUGUGGAGGAACACCAGUGGCGAAGGCGACUUUCUGGCCUGUAACUGACACUGAGGCGCGAAAGCGUGGGGAGCAAACAGGAUUAGAUACCCUGGUAGUCCACGCCGUAAACGAUGAGUGCUAAGUGUUGGGGGGUUUCCGCCCCUCAGUGCUGCAGCUAACGCAUUAAGCACUCCGCCUGGGGAGUACGGUCGCAAAGACUG